rnacentral:rRNA from 1 species
UACAGAGGGUGCGAGCGUUGUCCGGAAUUACUGGGCGUAAAGGGCGCGUAGGCGGCCUGCUAAGUCACACGUGAAAUCCCUCGGCUCAACCGGGGAACUGCGUGUGAUACUGGCGGGCUUGAAUUCGGGAGAGGGAUGUGGAAUUCCAGGUGUAGCGGUGAAAUGCGUAGAUAUCUGGAGGAACACCGGUGGCGAAGGCGGCAUCCUGGACCGAGAUUGACGCUGAGGCGCGAAAGCUAGGGGAGCAAACGGG